rnacentral:lncRNA from 1 species
UAUGUCAAACAAUAAGCUAUAAAGAUAAGUUAUGUAACUCUUUAACAUAGUAGUAAAUUCUUGCCAACUAACCAGAUAUUUUGCUGCUUGGAACAUUUCCAUGCCUCAGAUUCCUCUUUUAUUCAGAAGAUAUACUUCAGGAAUGUACACUAAGAAGAUCAAUACAGAAUAUAAUUCAGAUAGAAUUAAAUCAAAUGUGGAAAUUGAAGGAACAUUCAAGCAGGGGAGCCUCCAAUCUGAAGUUAGUUUAGAGGUUGCCGUUUUCUGGAAAAUCCAAUCGUCCUGCUACUUGGCACUGCUCACACUGAUGAGAGCUGAACUCUGAAAAUAGCAAGAAUUGGAAAUCUUAUGUUACAACUGUAAAGUUUCCCUGAAUCUCCACCAUCGUUCUGUAUGAAGCUUAGGGACUAAAUAAUUGGUUUAGAGGUCAUUGUACCUUUUCUUGACUUUUUAAAAAUAAAUUAGUGCCUAAUCCUAGAACAAAGUC